UCCAGCACCUUUACACAGACUUUCAUCAGCAACAUGAAAGCUGCGAGGAAGAGCUAUGAAACCAUUAUGAAUGUUUGUGAGGCAAAGAGGAAGUGUUGGCGCCUCAUUCAUGUGCCUUGUUUCUUGUGGAGUGCAGAAAUCUGCACACAACUGCACAAAUGAUACCAACAUGAGCUGCUGACCUCCAACUUUAUGCUGAAGAAAACUGGGCACAUGGAUGAGUAUUUCGGGUGGUUUCGAUACUUCUUGUUCUCAGUCUGGGUCUUCUAUAUUGUGAUGAUCUUCCUGUUCACGCACUUGCGCAAGGAGAUCAUGCUGAUAGAGCAGAGGUUCGAAAGAGCAAAACGAGAACAAAGACCACGAAGUGCAGCCGCUGACACCAGGCGAGCAGAUGGCGAUGUGGAAUAUGAAAACAUAUGAGGGACCGUUUUCAAAGUGGAUUCAGAAAUGAAAUGAGGCUUCUUGACAGCUACACAUCCUUUCAGACCCAUAGCGCUGAGU